rnacentral:rRNA from 1 species
UACGUAGGGGGCAAGCGUUGUCCGGAAUCAUUGGGCGUAAAGCGCGCGUAGGCGGCCCGGUAAGUCCGUUGUGAAAGUCGAAGGCUCAACCUUCGAAAGCCGAUGGAUACUGCCGGGCUAGAGUACGGAAGAGGCGAGUGGAAUUCCUAGUGUAGAGGUGAAAUUCGUAGAUAUUAGGAAGAACACCAGUGGCGAAGGCGGCUCACUGGCCCGGUACUGACGCUGAGGCGCGAAAGCGUGGGGAGCAAACAGG